rnacentral:rRNA from 1 species
GACGAACGCUGGCGGCGUGCUUAACACAUGCAAGUCGAACGGAAAGGCCCUGCUUUUGUGGGGUGCUCGAGUGGCGAACGGGUGAGUAACACGUGAGUAACCUGCCCUUGACUUUGGGAUAACUUCAGGAAACUGGGGCUAAUACCGGAUAGGAGCUCCUGCUGCAUGGUGGGGGUUGGAAAGUUUCGGCGGUUGGGGAUGGACUCGCGGCUUAUCAGCUUGUUGGUGGGGUAGUGGCUUACCAAGGCUUUGACGGGUAGCCGGCCUGGGAGGGUGACCGGCCACAUUGGGACUGAGAUACGACCCAGACUCCUAUGGGAGGCAGCAGUGGGGAAUAUUGCACAAUGGGCGGAAGCCUGAUGCAGCAACGCCGCGUGCGGGAUGACGGCCUUCGGGUUGUAAACCGCUUUCGCCUGUGACGAAGCGUGAGUGACGGUAAUGGGUAAAGAAGCACCGGCUAACUACGUG